UACGUAGGGGGCAAGCGUUGUCCGGAAUUACUGGGCGUAAAGAGCGCGCAGGCGGUCGUUCAAGUCGCGUGUGAAAGCCCCCGGCUCAACUGGGGAGGGUCACGCGAUACUGAUCGACUGGAAGGCAGGAGAGGGUAGUGGAAUUCCCGGUGUAGUGGUGAAAUGCGCAGAUAUCAGGAGGAACACCGGUGGCGAAGGCGGGUCUCUGGGGCCGAUACUGACGCUGAGGAGCGAAAGCGUGGGGGAGCAAAACGGG
rnacentral:rRNA from 1 species